rnacentral:rRNA from 1 species
UACGAAGGUCCCGAGCGUUGUUCGGAAUCACUGGGCGUAAAGGGAGCGUAGGCGGCGUGGUAAGUCAGAUGUGAAAUCCCGGGGCCCAACCCCGGAACUGCAUCCGAUACUGCCGUGCUUGAGGGUUGGAGAGGUAGCUGGAAUUCUCGGUGUAGCAGUGAAAUGCGUGGAUAUCGAGAGGAACACUCGUGGCGAAGGCGAGCUACUGGACAACAUCUGACGCUGAGGCUCGAAGGCCAGGGGAGCAAACAGG